rnacentral:rRNA from 1 species
UACGUAGGGGGCUAGCGUUGUCCGGAAUCAUUGGGCGUAAAGCGCGUGUAGGCGGUCCGGUAAGUCCGCUGUGAAAGUCGGGGGCUCAACCCUCGAAUGCCGGUGGAUACUGUCGGGCUAGAGUACGGAAGAGGCGAGUGGAAUUCCUGGUGUAGCGGUGAAAUGCGCAGAGUAUCAGGAGGAACACCGAUGGCGAAGGCAGCUCGCUGGGACGGUACUGACGCUGAGGCGCGAAAGCGUGGGGAGCGAACAGG